GACGAACGCUGGCGGCGUGCUUAACACAUGCAAGUCGAACGGAAAGGCCCUGCUUUUGUGGGGUGCUCGAGUGGCGAACGGGUGAGUAACACGUGAGUAACCUGCCCUUGACUUUGGGAUAACUUCAGGAAACUGGGGCUAAUACCGGAUAGGAGCUCCUGCUGCAUGGUGGGGGUUGGAAAGUUUCGGCGGUUGGGGAUGGACUCGCGGCUUAUCAGCUUGUUGGUGGGGUAGUGGCUUACCAAGGCUUUGACGGGUAGCCGGCCUGAGAGGGUGACCGGCCCAAAUUGGACUGGGGUACGGCCCCGACUCCUAAGGGAGGCAGCAGUGGGGAAUAUUGCACAAUGGGCGGAAGCCUGAUGCAGCAACGCCGCGUGCGGGAUGACGGCCUUCGGGUUGUAAACCGCUUUCGCCUGUGACGAAGCGUGAGUGACGGUAAUGGGUAAAGAAGCACCGGCUAACUACGUG
rnacentral:rRNA from 1 species